rnacentral:rRNA from 1 species
UACGGGAGGCAGCAGUGGGGAAUAUUGCGCAAUGGGCGGAAGCCUGACGCAGCGACGCCGCGUGGGGGAUGACGGCCUUCGGGUUGUAAACCUCUUUCAGCUUCGACGAAGCCUUUCGGGGUGACGGUAGGAGCAGAAGAAGCACCGGCCAACUACGUGCCAGCAGCCGCGGUAAUACGUAGGGUGCAAGCGUUGUCCGGAAUUAUUGGGCGUAAAGAGCUCGUAGGCGAUUCGUCGCGUCGGCUGUGAAAACCCGGAGCUCAACUCCGGGCCUGCAGUCGAUACGGGCGGACUUGCGUUCGGCAGGGGAGACUGGAAUUCCUGGUGUAGCGGUGAAAUGCGCAGAUAUCAGGAGGAACACCGGUGGCGAAGGCGGGUCUCUGGGCCGAUACUGACGCUGAGGAGCGAAAGCGUGGGGAGCGAACAGGAUUAGAUACCCUGGUAGACCACGCCGUAAACGUUGGGCGCUAGGUGUGGGGGCCAUUCCACGGUUUCCGUGCCGCAGCUAACGCAUUAAGCGCCCC